GUCCACGCCGUAAACGAUGGGCACUAGGUGCUUGGGGGAGCGACCCCUUGAGUGCCGACGCUAACGCAUGAAGUGCCCCGCCUGGGGAGUACGGCCGCAAGGCUGAAACUCAAAGGAAUUGACGGGGGCCCGCACAAGCGGUGGAGCAUGUGGUUCAAUUCGACGCAACGCGAAGAACCUUACCUAGGCUUGACAUGCACAGGACGGCGUCCAGAAACGGGCGCUUCUCUUCGGAGUCUGUGCACAGGUGCUGCAUGGCUGUCGU
rnacentral:rRNA from 1 species